rnacentral:rRNA from 1 species
CUGCAGCCCGAGUGGUGAUCGAUUUUAUUGAGCCUAAAGCGUCCGUAGCCGGACUAGUAAACCCUUGGGUAAAUUGGGCAGCUUAACUGUCCAAAUUCCGAGGGGACUGCUAGUCUUGGGACCGGGAGAGGUCAGAGGUACUCAAGGGGUAGGGGCUAAAUCCUGUAAUCCUUUGGGGACCACCAGUGGCGAAGGCGUCUGACUAGAACGGAUCCGACGGUAAGGGACGAAACCCUGGGGCGCGAACCGGAUUAGAUACCCUGGUAGUCC